rnacentral:rRNA from 1 species
CUUAACACAUGCAAGUCGAGCGGAAAGGCCCUUUCGGGGGUACUCGAGCGGCGAACGGGUGAGUAACACGUGAGUAAUCUGCCCUUGGCUUUGGGAUAACUACCGGAAACGGUGGCUAAUACCGGAUAUGACCAUGCUCGGCAUCGGGUGUGGUGGAAAGUUUUUCGGCCAGGGAUGUGCUCGCGGCCUAUCAGCUUGUUGGUGGGGUAAUGGCCUACCAAGGCUUCGACGGGUAGCCGGCCUGAGAGGGUGACCGGCCACACUGGGACUGAGACACGGCCCAGACUCCUACGGGAGGCAGCAGUGGGGAAUAUUGGACAAUGGGCGGAAGCCUGAUCCAGCAACGCCGCGUGAGGGAUGACGGCCUUCGGGUUGUAAACCUCUUUCAGUACCGACGAAGCGCCGAUGAUGGUGGUGACGGUAGGUACAGAAGAAGCACCGGCCAACUACGUG